UACGUAGGGCGCAAGCGUUGUCCGGAAUUAUUGGGCGUAAAGAGCUCGUAGGCGGCCACGCACGUCCGUUGUGAAAUCGCCCGGCUCAACUGGGCGGGGUCAGCGGAUACGGUGUGGCUCGAGCAAGCUAGGGGGCAAUGGAAUUCCGGGUGUAGUGGUGGAAUGCGUAGAGAUCCGGAGGAACACCAGCGGCGAAGGCGGCAUCCUGGCCCUUACCUGACGCUGAGGCGCGAGAGCGUGGGGGAGCAAACCGG
rnacentral:rRNA from 1 species